CCUACGGGCGGCAGCAGUGGGGAAUAUUGCACAAUGGGGGAAACCCUGAUGCAGCGACGCCGCGUGAGUGAAGAAGGAUUUCGGGAUGUAAAGCUCUAUCAGCAGGGAAGAAAAUGACGGUACCGGAAGAAGAAGCCCCGGCGAACGACGGGCCAGCAGCCGCGGAAAGACGUAGGGGGCAAGCGGUAUCCGGAUUUACUGGGUGUAAAGGGAGCGUAGACGGCAGCACAAGUCUGGAGUGAAAUGCCGGGGCUUAACCCCGGAACGGCUUUUGAAACUGUGCAGCUAGAGUGCAGGAGAGGUAAGUGGAAUUCCUCUUGUAGCGGUGACAUGCGUAGAUAUUAGGAGGAACCCCAGUGGCGAAGGCGGCUUACUGGACUGUACCUGACGUUGAGGCUCGAAAGCGUGGGGAGCAAACAGGAUUAGAUACCCUUGUAGUC
rnacentral:rRNA from 1 species